rnacentral:rRNA from 1 species
CUAUGGCCAUACUACCCUGAACUCGUCUGAUCUCAGAAGCCAAGCAGGGUCGGGCCUGGUGAGUACUUGGAUGGAAGAAAAACCAGUCGCAGCCUAGU